CCCCGGCCAGGCGGUGUCAGGUGAAGGCCUUAAAAAUACUCAAUGACCCCAGCCACUCAAGCCACAAACUAUUCUUGAUCCUACCACAUGGCAGGCAGGGCUGGCCAUACCGGUCUGCAACUGACGAACAAACAUCAAAAUCAGACUUGAGUAACCACAUUGUGGGCCUGUUACAAGAAAGAAUACUGAUUUUGUAGAUCAGAGUUUUUGAUUGUGGGUUCUGGUCUAAGGUAGUGUAUUUUAUAGGGAAUAUGGGGCUAUGGCUCUGGUCUAAGGUUGUGUACUAUAUAGGGAAUAUGGGGCUAGGGCUCUAGUCUAAAGUAGUGUACUAUAUAGGGAAUAUGGGGCUAGGGCUCUAGUCUAAAGUAGUGUACUAUAUAGGGAAUAUGGGGCUAGGGCUCUGGUCUAAAGUAGUGUACUAUAUAGGGAAUAUGGGGCUAGGGCUCUGGUCUAAAGUAGUGUACUAUAUAGGGAAUAUGGGGCAAGGCACUGGUCUAAGGUAGUGUACUAUAUAGGGAAUAUGGUGCUAGAGCUCUGGUCUAAGGUAGUGUACUAUAUAGGGAAUAUGGUGCUAGAGCUCUGGUCUAAGGUAGUGUACUAUAUAGGGAAUAGGGUGCCAGUUAAGACAAACAUAUGGCUGGCAGAGUCUUUCCCAUGAUAAGUUGUACCUGGUUUUGUUGGGUACAAAGCUCUUUCAGUUGCUUAUGAAACUGAACGUACCAGGUUGUCUUAAACAGGCUAUAUUCACGAGUCUGACCUUGACUUGACAUUCUGUUUGUGUCUCGGUCAGGACUUUGCUGACUUUUGUUCCCAUACCACCUGUGCCAUAUAGACACAACACCUGCUUUAUAAUGCACUAUAAACUGUGUAUCAAUCAUCAGCAGUUAUCACCAAAUAUUUAGACCCGAGCUGUGGCCAUCAAGUGGAUGAUAUUGAACAUGAACCGAACAUGCGGUAUCCUGAGAUAAAGAUAUUUUUUAAAUAGCUUGGUGUAUUUUGUUAAAUAUCUACCAGUAUCUCAGUUGGUAGAACAUGGCGUUUACAACCCCAGGGUUAGAGGUGUAUGAAUGCAUGGCUUCACUACUGUUAGAGACUCCGGAUAACAGUCUUCAAGAACAAAUGUAUUUAUGUUGUAGGCCAAAUUCAGAAUUUUAACAUUUAAGUCACUGCUUUUUAUACCUCCAGUAUCCUAAGAUAAUUAAAUUGCUUACUGAACCAUGUUAUUUCACAACAAUUUUAGGUGUUAGGGUUUUAUGUUUUAUACUUUAUGUUCCCCCAAGGAAAAGGCCAUGCUUUGCUGGUUCGCGGUAUAAAGAAAGUCUAAGAGAAGGCUGUUCUGUAACCUUACAUUCUAUCUCAUGAUGUCACCUCAAAGGAAAAAACAUGAAAGUAAAAGCAUGUCAAUGAUAUUAUAAAUCUGUAGUGUUUUACAACUUUUCAUUCCUCAACCAGGUGCUGUUAUGAAGACAUCUGCAGGGUUUUAAGCACAUUUUUCUUUUUUUAAAUAGUAUUUUUUGUAGGAAAUUGUGCCUGCAACAAGUGCCCUCAUUUUAUCAUUCUCCCUAGCCCAUCUAGAAGUUCACAGUUUUCUCAGUAUUCUUCUAAUAUUCAUUUUUGACACUUGCAGUACUAACCCUCCACCACCCUGGACUAGAUAAUACUACCCUAAACCACCCUGGACUAGUUAAUACUACCCUAAACCACCCUGGACUAGUUAAUACUACCCUAAACCACCCUGGACUAGUUAAUACUACCCUAAACCACCCUGGACUAGUUAAUACUACCCUAAACCACUCUGGACUAGAUAAUACUACCCUCCCACCCUAAACCACUCUGGACUAGAUAAUACUACCCUAAACCACCCUGGACUAGUUAAUACUACCCUAAACCACCCUGGACUAGUUAAUACUACCCUAAACCACCCUGGACUAGUUAAUACUACCCUAAACCACUCUGGACUAGAUAAUACCACCCUAAACCACUCUGGACUAGAUAAUACUACCCUAAACCACCAUGGACUAGAUAAUACUACCCUAAACCACCCUGGACUAGAUAAUACCACCCUAAACCACCCUGGACUAGAUAAUACUACCCUAAACCACCCUGGACUAGUUAAUACUACCCUAAACCACCCUGGACUAGUUAAUACUACCCUAAACCACUCUGGACUAGAUAAUACCACCCUAAACCACCCUGGACUAGAUAAUACUACCCUAAACCACCCUGGACUAGUUAAUACUACCCUAAAC
ensembl:lncRNA